UACGGGGGGGGCAAGCGUUGUUCGGAAUUACUGGGCGUAAAGGGCUCGUAGGCGGCCUUCUAAGUCGAACGUGAAAUCCCCGGGCUCAACCCGGGAACUGCGUCCGAUACUGGAAGGCUUGAAUCCGGGAGAGGGAUGUGGAAUUCCAGGUGUAGCGGUGAAAUGCGUAGAUAUCUGGAGGAACACCGGUGGCGAAGGCGGCAUCCUGGACCAAUAUUGACGCUGAGGAGCGAAAGCCAGGGGAGCAAACGGG
rnacentral:rRNA from 1 species